AUACGAAGGGUGCAAGCGUUAAUCGGAAUUACUGGGCGUAAAGCGCGCGUAGGCGGUUCAGCAAGUUGGAUGUGAAAGCCCCGGGCUCAACCGGGGAACUGCAUUCAAAACUACUGAGCUAGAGUACGGUAGAGGGAGGUGGAAUUUCCUGUGUAGCGGUGAAAUGCGUGAAUAUAGGAAGGAACCCCAGGGGCGAAGGCGACCACCUGGACUGAUACUGACCCUGAGGUGCGAAAGCGUGGGGAGCAAACAGGAUUAGAUCCCCUGGUGGUCCACGCCGUAAACGAUGUCAACUAGUUGUUGGGUUCCUUGAGAACUUAGUAACGAAGCUAACGCGAUAAGUUGACCGCCUGGGGAGUACGGCCGCAAGGUUAAAACUCAAAUGAAUUGACGGGG
rnacentral:rRNA from 1 species